ACAUGUCUACAACAUAGUUUUAAUGCACUGGAUACCAUUAGAACUCUGCAGUUAAGCAUGCUUAGGCUAGAGUAGCACUGGGAUGGGUGACCGCCUGAUAAGUCCUAGUGUUUUACAUGCC
rfam:Picea glauca, whole genome shotgun sequence.